rnacentral:rRNA from 1 species
AGAGUUUGAUCCUGGCUCAGGACGAACGCUGGCGGCGUGCCUAAUACAUGCAAGUCGAGCGAAGUUUUUCUGGUGCUUGCACCGGAAAAACUUAGCGGCGAACGGGUGAGUAACACGUAAAGAACCUGCCUCAUAGACUGGGACAACUAUUGGAAACGAUAGCUAAUACCGGAUAACAGCAUUAACUGCAUGGUUGAUGUUUAAAAGUUGGUUUUGCUAACACUAUGAGAUGGCUUUGCGGUGCAUUAGCUAGUUGGUGGGGUAAAGGCCUACCAAGGCGACGAUGCAUAGCCGACCUGAGAGGGUGAUCGGCCACACUGGGACUGAGACACGGCCCAGACUCCUACGGGAGGCAGCAGUAGGGAAUCUUCCGCAAUGGGCGAAAGCCUGACGGAGCAACGCCGCGUGAGUGAAGAAGGAUUUCGGUUCGUAAAGCUCUGUUGUUAGGGAAGAAUGAUUGUGUAGUAACUAUACACAGUAGAGACGGUACCUAACCAGAAAGCCACGGCUAACUACGUGCCAGCAGCCGCGGUAAU